rnacentral:rRNA from 1 species
GUUAUCCGGAUUCACUGGGUUUAAAGGGAGCGUAGGUGGGUUGGUAAGUCAGUGGUGAAAUCUCCGAGCUUAACUUGGAAACUGCCAUUGAUACUAUCGAUCUUGAAUACUGUGGAGGUAAGCGGAAUAUAUCAUGUAGCGGUGAAAUGCUUAGAUAUGAUAUAGAACACCAAUAGCGAAGGCAGCUUACUACGCAGUUAUUGACACUGAGGCUCGAAAGCGUGGGGAUCAAACAGGAUUAGAUACCCUGGUAGUCCACGCCCUAAACUAUGGAUACUCGACAUCAGCGAUACACUGUUGGUGUCUGAGCGAAAGCAUUAAGUAUCCCACCUGGGAAGUACGUCCGCAAGGAUGAAACUCAAAGGAAUUGGCCGGGGGGUCCGCACAAGCGGUGGAGCAUGUGGUUUAAUUCGACGAUACGCGAGGAACCUUACCUGGGCUAGAAUGCA